rnacentral:rRNA from 1 species
GCGCGAAAACUUUACAAUGCUGGCAACAGCGAUAAGGGAACCUCGAGUGCCAGGUUACAAAUCUGGCUGUCGAGAUGCCUAAAAAGCAUUUCAUAGCAAGGGCCGGGCAAGACCGGUGCCAGCCGCCGCGGUAACACCGGCGGCUCGAGUGGUAACCGUUAUUAUUGGGUCUAAAGGGUCUGUAGCCGGCCGGAUAAGUCUCUUGAGAAAUCUGGCAGCUUAACUGUCAGGCUUUCAGGAGAUACUGUUUGGCUCGAGGCCGGGAGAGGUGAGAGGUACUUCAGGGGUAGGGGUGAAAUCUUGUAAUCCUUGAAGGACCACCAGUGGCGAAGGCGUCUCACCAGAACGGACCUGACGGCAAGGGACGAAGGCUAGGGGCACGAACCG